UACGUAGGGGGCAAGCGUUGUCCGGAAUUAUUGGGCGUAAAGAGCUCGUAGGCGGCCGUGCAAGUCUGGCGUGAAAGCCCCGGCUCAGCCCGGGAAGUGCGCUCGAAACUGCGCGGCUCGAGUGCCGGAGGGGAGAGUGGAAUUCCUGGUGUAGCGGUGAAAUGCGCAGAUAUCAGGAGGAACACCGGUGGCGAAGGCGGGUCUCUGGGCCGAUACUGACGCUGGAGGAGCGAAAGCGUGGGGAGCGAACAGG
rnacentral:rRNA from 1 species